rnacentral:rRNA from 1 species
AGCGUAGACGGACUGGCAAGUCUGAUGUGAAAGGCGGGGGCUCAACCCCUGGACUGCAUUGGAAACUGUUAGUCUUGAGUGCCGGAGAGGUAAGCGGAAUUCCUAGUGUAGCGGUGAAAUGCGUAGAUAUUAGGAGGAACACCAGUGGCGAAGGCGGCUUACUGGACGGCAACUGACGUUGAGGCUCGAAAGCGUGGGGAGCAAACA